rnacentral:rRNA from 1 species
UACGUAGGGUGCAAGCGUUGUCCGGAUUUAUUGGGCGUAAAGAGCGUGUAGGCGGUUUUGUAGGUCCGCUGUGAAAACUCGAGGCUCAACCUCGAGACGCCGAUGGAAACCAUCAGACUAGAGUCCGGAAGAGGAGAGUGGAAUUCCUGGUGUAGCGGUGAAAUGCGCAGAUAUCAGGAAGAACACCCGUGGCUAAGGCGGCUCUCUAGUACGGUACUGACGCUGAGACGCGAAAGCGUGGGGAGCGAACAGG